ACUCCUACGGGAGGCAGCAGUAAGGAAUAUUGGACAAUGGGCGGAAGCCUGAUCCAGCCAUCCCGCGUGUAGGAAGACUGCCCUAUGGGUUGUAAACUACUUUUACUAGGGAAGAAGAGCAGUUAUUAAUAACUGUGUGACGGUACCUAGAGAAUAAGCACCGGCUAACUCCGUGCCAGCAGCCGCGGUAAUACGGAGGGGUGCGAGCGUUAUCCGGAAUUACUGGGGUUUAAAGGGUGCGUAGGUUGCGUAAUAAGUCAGAGGUGAAAGGCACGAGCUUAACUGGUGAAUUGCCUUUGAUACUGUUAUGCUUGAAUUAAGUUGAGGUUAGCGGAAUGUGACAUGUAGCGGUGAAAUGCAUAGAUAUGUCAUAGAACACCAAUUGCGUAGGCAGCUAGCUAGGCUUAUAUUGACGCUGAGGCACGAAAGCGUGGGGAGCGAACAGGAUUAGAUACCCUGGUAGGAUAGCG
rnacentral:rRNA from 1 species